rnacentral:rRNA from 1 species
GACGAACGCUGGCGGCAUGCCUAAUACAUGCAAGUCGAGCGAACAGAUGGAGUGCUUGCACUUCUGACGUUAGCGGCGAACGGGUGAGUAACACGUAAGGAAUCUACCUAUAAGCGGGGGAUAACAUUCGGAAGCGGGUGCUAAUACCGCAUAAUAUCUUCUUCCGCAUGGAAGAAGAUUGAAAGACGGCUCUGCUGUCACUUAUAGAUGACCUUGCGGUGCAUUAGUUAGUUGGUGGGGUAACGGCCUACCAAGACGAUGAUGCAUAGCCGACCUGAGAGGGUGAUCGGCCACAUUGGGACUGAGACACGGCCCAAACUCCUACGGGAGGCAGCAGUAGGGAAUCUUCCGCAAUGGGCGAAAGCCUGACGGAGCAGUGCCGCGUGAGUGAAGAAGGCCUUCGGGUCGUAAAACUCUGUUAUAAGAGAAGAACAAAUUGUAGAGUAACUGCUACAGUCUUGACGGUAUCUUAUCAGAAAGCCACGGCUGACUACGUGCCAGCCGCCGCCGUAA